UCAGGAACACUUAAUGAGAGGGAGGAAAGCAGGUGGGUAGCACAGAAACUAGAUGGCACAGGUAGGCGGCUUGCUGACUUUCUCUGGUUAUUCUCAAAGGCAAUCAUUUCACAGCUGUCAGAGUUACAGUGUUUGGGAGCUGCCCCAUGUUCCCACAUGCUAAGAACUCAAGGAGCAGCCCAGUGAGCACAGCUGCAACUCUCUGCCAUCAUUCAGAAGUAAACAUCCUUCAGAAGGAACUGUACUCGCUUUUUCUAGAUGCAAACAACUCACCAAAGAAUCUGAAGGUGGUAACAAGAUGCUACCUGAUAGAUUCUGCCUGCUACUGCCUGUGGUUCCCUUUUAGGGGCUUUUAGAAAUCCAGGCAACACCUCCAGUUAGGAGCCAUAAGGCACAUCGCUGGGAUCUGACUUGUAGAACAAUGUGUGUGAACCAGAAGGUGCGGGGAAAUGCUUUCUCAAGUCGGCCUAUCUGUUUCCCAUCUUUCAUUAAAUACACAUUAAUGGGCAGAGAUUGGGUGCCCUCUCUCCCACAUAGGGGCAAUGCUUGUAAUGCAGACCUACUUUUUGUCGGAAGAUCCUCAGUUAAACCCAUGUCAUCUCUCCCUGUCACAGACAUUUCUUCAGCUGAGCUCCCUGGGAACCAUGACCAUCUCAAUUUUGCAGCUUGCUGUGCUCAGUCACAAACAUCGCCGCAAUACCAUCCUUCCUUCAUUUGAGAGGCCCACACACAAAUAUCAAAGUGAGCUAAUGUGCGGGGGAGGAAUAUUUCUCCCUAAUUUUCCAAAGUGGUUUUCAGGGAUUCUCACACACGCAUAUCCUCGCAGUGGGAAUGAAGUGUACAACACCCUUUAACGUUAGAGUUUUAAGGCCUCCUUUAGCUGAACAUCAGCUAAUUAUUGUGGAAUCCGUGCAAAUGGCAUCUCAAAUACCUCUCUCAUACUCGUUAAUUUUCUGUACUCACUAAGACAUUCACUAUUCAUACAGAUGAUGAAUGCCCUGCCUAGGCUAUGCUAAUAACACUUCCCUUAGUAUCUGCGAAUGGGCCCAUAAAAAGGGGCAGGUUUCUAUUCAACCAAGUCGGGGACCAGAGGAUGCUUUCGGGUCCUUGUGCCCCCUCCACUUCCCCACAGCACACCUUUAAGCUAUUCCUCCCACACUAUUAAUCUCCCAGGCUUUGGUGUGACUAAUUGCAAAUGGCAGGAGAGAUUGGGCUUAAUAAGCAGGAGUGUUGGAACAUUUCCUUCCAAAGUGCCCUCCUUUGUUCAAAGUGUGUCACCCUGUCAGGAGAAGCACUUUUUCACAUGGCAUCAAGAAGAACAAAAAUAAGGUCGGGUCGUCACCUUUGUCGUGGACGAAAAUUAGCAUGCAAGAGGAAAUGCAGAGGCAGCCGCCGUGGGAGCUAGGUGAGGUGGGCGGUGGGUGAGCCAUCACACCCCUGCCAUUCCCUCCCAGCCCAGGGCAAGAAAGCAGGCUUCCAGAUGAAGCCCCAGUGGAAAAUCUGCCUCUCUUCCAGCAGAUUUCAAGCUCACUGUUUCCUUUCCCUUUGUCUCUGUGCCCUUUCCCCACCACUGGAGUAUCCAACGUUUUCCAUAUAGAAUAACUAACAAUAAUGUGGUUCCCGGUGGACUUCACAAGCUGACUGCAAUUUAUUCAUUUUCUGAGCUAAAUUUUGCCUUGGAC